GAUGAAGAACGUAGCGAAAUGCGAUAAGUAAUGUGAAUUGCAGAAUUCAGUGAAUCAUCGAAUCUUUGAACGCACAUUGCGCCCUCUGGUAUUCCGGGGGGCAUGCCUGUUCGAGCGUCAUUAUAACCACUCAAGCUCUCGCUUGGUAUUGGGGUUCGCGGUUUCGCGGCCCCUAAAAUCAGUGGCGGUGCCUGUCGGCUCUACGCGUAGUAAUACUUCUCGCGAUUGAGUUCGAUAGGUCUACUUGCCAGUAACCCCCAAUUUUUACAGGUUGACCUCGGAUCAGGUAGGGAUACCCGCUGAACUUAAGCAUAUCAAUAAGCGGAAGA
rnacentral:misc_RNA from 1 species